CACACUAUCAUUAACUGAAUCCAUAGGUUAAUGAGGCGAACCGGGGGAACUGAAACAUCUAAGUACCCCGAGGAAAAGAAAUCAACCGAGAUUCCCCCAGUAGCGGCGAGCGAACGGGGAGGAGCCCAGAGCCUGAAUCAGUGUGUGUGUUAGUGGAAGCGUCUGGAAAGGCGCGCGAUACAGGGUGACAGCCCCGUACACAAAAAUGCACAUGCUGUGAGCUCGAUGAGUAGGGCGGGACACGUGGUAUCCUGUCUGAAUAUGGGGGGACCAUCCUCCAAGGCUAAAUACUCCUGACUGACCGAUAGUGAACCAGUACCGUGAGGGAAAGGCGAAAAGAACCCCGGCGAGGGGAGUGAAAAAGAACCUGAAACCGUGUACGUACAAGCAGUAGGAGCACAGAGCAAUCUGUGUGACUGCGUACCUUUUGUAUAAUGGGUCAGCGACUUAUAUUCUGUAGCAAGGUUAACCGAAUAGGGGAGCCGAAGGGAAACCGAGUCUUAACUGGGCGUUAAGUUGCAGGGUAUAGACCCGAAACCCGGUGAUCUAGCCAUGGGCAGGUUGAAGGUUGGGUAACACUAACUGGAGGACCGAACCGACUAAUGUUGAAAAAUUAGCGGAUGACUUGUGGCUGGGGGUGAAAGGCCAAUCAAACCGGGAGAUAGCUGGUUCUCCCCGAAAGCUAUUUAGGUAGCGCCUCGUGAAUUCAUCUCCGGGGGUAGAGCACUGUUUCGGCAAGGGGGUCAUCCCGACUUACCAACCCGAUGCAAACUGCGAAUACCGGAGAAUGUUAUCACGGGAGACACACGGCGGGUGCUAACGUCCGUCGUGAAGAGGGAAACAACCCAGACCGCCAGCUAAGGUCCCAAAGUCAUGGUUAAGUGGGAAACGAUGUGGGAAGGCCCAGACAGCCAGGAUGUUGGCUUAGAAGCAGCCAUCAUUUAAAGAAAGCGUAAUAGCUCACUGGUCGAGUCGGCCUGCGCGGAAGAUGUAACGGGGCUAAACCAUGCACCGAAGCUGCGGCAGCGACACUGUGUGUUGUUGGGUAGGGGAGCGUUCUGUAAGCCUGUGAAGGUGUGCUGUGAGGCAUGCUGGAGGUAUCAGAAGUGCGAAUGCUGACAUAAGUAACGAUAAAGCGGGUGAAAAGCCCGCUCGCCGGAAGACCAAGGGUUCCUGUCCAACGUUAAUCGGGGCAGGGUGAGUCGACCCCUAAGGCGAGGCCGAAAGGCGUAGUCGAUGGGAAACAGGUUAAUAUUCCUGUACUUGGUGUUACUGCGAAGGGGGGACGGAGAAGGCUAUGUUGGCCGGGCGACGGUUGUCCCGGUUUAAGCGUGUAGGCUGGUUUUCCAGGCAAAUCCGGAAAAUCAAGGCUGAGGCGUGAUGACGAGGCACUACGGUGCUGAAGCAACAAAUGCCCUGCUUCCAGGAAAAGCCUCUAAGCAUCAGGUAACAUCAAAUCGUACCCCAAACCGACACAGGUGGUCAGGUAGAGAAUACCAAGGCGCUUGAGAGAACUCGGGUGAAGGAACUAGGCAAAAUGGUGCCGUAACUUCGGGAGAAGGCACGCUGAUAUGUAGGUGAAGUCCCUCGCGGAUGGAGCUGAAAUCAGUCGAAGAUACCAGCUGGCUGCAACUGUUUAUUAAAAACACAGCACUGUGCAAACACGAAAGUGGACGUAUACGGUGUGACGCCUGCCCGGUGCCGGAAGGUUAAUUGAUGGGGUCAGCGCAAGCGAAGCUCUUGAUCGAAGCCCCGGUAAACGGCGGCCGUAACUAUAACGGUCCUAAGGUAGCGAAAUUCCUUGUCGGGUAAGUUCCGACCUGCACGAAUGGCGUAAUGAUGGCCAGGCUGUCUCCACCCGAGACUCAGUGAAAUUGAACUCGCUGUGAAGAUGCAGUGUACCCGCGGCAAGACGGAAAGACCCCGUGAACCUUUACUAUAGCUUGACACUGAACAUUGAGCCUUGAUGUGUAGGAUAGGUGGGAGGCUUUGAAGUGUGGACGCCAGUCUGCAUGGAGCCGACCUUGAAAUACCACCCUUUAAUGUUUGAUGUUCUAACGUGGACCCGUGAUCCGGGUUGCGGACAGUGUCUGGUGGGUAGUUUGACUGGGGCGGUCUCCUCCUAAAGAGUAACGGAGGAGCACGAAGGUUGGCUAAUCCUGGUCGGACAUCAGGAGGUUAGUGCAAUGGCAUAAGCCAGCUUGACUGCGAGCGUGACGGCGCGAGCAGGUGCGAAAGCAGGUCAUAGUGAUCCGGUGGUUCUGAAUGGAAGGGCCAUCGCUCAACGGAUAAAAGGUACUCCGGGGAUAACAGGCUGAUACCGCCCAAGAGUUCAUAUCGACGGCGGUGUUUGGCACCUCGAUGUCGGCUCAUCACAUCCUGGGGCUGAAGUAGGUCCCAAGGGUAUGGCUGUUCGCCAUUUAAAGUGGUACGCGAGCUGGGUUUAGAACGUCGUGAGACAGUUCGGUCCCUAUCUGCCGUGGGCGCUGGAGAACUGAGGGGGGCUGCUCCUAGUACGAGAGGACCGGAGUGGACGCAUCACUGGUGUUCGGGUUGUCAUGCCAAUGGCACUGCCCGGUAGCUAAAUGCGGAAGAGAUAAGUGCUGAAAGCAUCUAAGCACGAAACUUGCCCCGAGAUGAGUUCUCCCUGACCCUUUAAGGGUCCUGAAGGAACGUUGAAGACGACGACGUUGAUAGGCCGGGUGUGUAAGCGCAGCGAUGCGUUGAGCUAACCGGUACUAAUGAACCGUGAGGCUUAACCUUACAACGCCGAAGGUGUUU
rnacentral:rRNA from 1 species